rnacentral:lncRNA from 1 species
AUGGUGGCCCUGUCCUUCCUGCUGCCGGCCGCCGUCAUCCUCUUCUGCUACGUCAACAUCGUGCGGGUGGCGCGCUCCCACGCCCGCCGCAUCCACACGCUGGAGGACCACCUGCAGCGCGGUCGCGCCGCCGCCGCCGCCGCCGCCGCCGCCGCCGCCGCCGCCACCGCCGCCAAGUCGUCUUCGUCUUCGUCGUCGUCGUCGUCGUCGUCGUCGUCGUCGUCCGGCACCACCCAACAGCACCACCACCACCACACCCACUCCAGCCUGGUGUACCACCUGAGCGGGCGUUUCGUGACGGAGGUUCGACGCGGGGACACCGCGGCGACCUGGGAACCGGGAGCCUCUCCCGUGGGUUCUCCGUCUCCUCCUCCUCCUCCUCCUCCUCCUCCUCCCCCUCCCAGACGCCUGUUCUCCUGCCUGGCCCAGACCCCCGUCCCCCGGCAGCCCCCCCUCCCCCAGCCGACCCCCCUCCCCCAGCAGAACCAGCACCAGCACGGACUGGUCCGCCUCUUCCUGGUGAUCUCCGCCUUCUUCCUGUGCUGGACCCCUUAUAUGGGCGUGGCGCUGAUCCAGGCGGCCGAGAGCGCCCUAUUGGGCGAGAAAAACCUGGUCCCGUCCAGCGCCGUCACCUUCUCCUAUUGGCUGGUGCUGCUCAACUCGGACAUCAACCCGCUGCUCUACGCUCUGCUCAGCAAGCGUUUCCAGGGCGCCAUGCAGAACCUCAAGCAGAAGAUACGCGCCCGGCUGGGGGGCGCGGCGGUCGGGAGGGCGGGGGAGGCCCGGGCGGAGGGCGAGGACAGGUGCUUAGGUCCGUGCAGCACCACGACCACCAACAUACGCACGCUCUGCUCCUCCUCGGGUGAAAGCCCGUCUUCGAGACGAGACGAGGCGUCCAGAUACUGCUCCUCCGUCUUCACGGUCAACGCAGACUUCAAACAUCAGCGCCAGCCGAAGCAGCAGUGCGAGGUGUUUCUCCCGGGCAGCCCCUCGACCUCAAGCUCUUCCCCGUGGCAGCAGGAGUCGGGCAGCGGGGAGAAUAGGGUGGAGUGUCUGCACGUCCCGACUCGAACACAAGAGGGCAGCAAACUGCCGUUCUCCGCCGUAACCACGGAGACGCGGGCCACUUACUUCUAUGGGCAGAUCACGGUGACGGUGGAGCAUGAUGUCUGCUAG